GCAUAUUUCAUCAUGUCAAUCAGGUACCAAUCUCAGUCACAAUUUAUUCUCCAUUACAUUUCCUACAAUAUUAUCACAAGCUACUGCUAAUUUGAUUUUUUCUUUUUCAACAAUAGUUGCGAGGAAUUUAAGCAUCUUGCAAAUAAACCAUGCAUAUUAAAAAAAUUGAUUUCUAUCAAUUGAUCAACAAAAUACCUAGUCUAAAUCAAAGAGGCAAAGAUUGGUUGGAACAUUUGGUUGCAGCUGAAAAUGAGUCAUCCAUUUAAAUAAGUGGAACAGACUUAUAUUUCAAUUCAGUAAAUAAGAAAAGAGGUCUCCAAUUGCUAAAACAAUCAAUUGAAACAUCAAAAUCAUAAUCAAUUUACAACUACACAUUAGCUUUAUUCAUGCAAUAUUCAUACAAAGCGAUCAACUCAUUUAGAGGCCUUCUCAAUGAUGAUUUGUAUAGACAUUCUACCAGAAUUUCGAAUUUAUGUUGGCAAAGGAAAAGUUAAGAUUGAUAAAGUGCAUGACUAAAUGUCAUAGAAGUGGAGAUAGCCAUUGGGAUAGGGAUUGGAUGACAAUAUACAGAGAUAACAGAUUGAAAAUAAUGUGCAUCUUUUGUGCUUUAGGUAUUGAAUCAAUGAAAAUAGAGAGCAGAAUUCCAUGAUAAUGUACCAAGCAAAUACUUAAUGCAUUAUGCUUAAAAUACGUAGUCCACUAAAAAAAUAAAAAAAAAAUUGACUUCUUAGAAUAUCUUUUUUCUAUUAUGCACAUUUAUAUUUAUGAAUUAUAAUUAUAAAAAAAUUCAAAAAAUUUGAAACCAACAAGUAUAAAUAACUAAAAAAAAUUUAGAUAAACAAGUGAUUUUCCACAUUACAUACAAUGACAAUUUAAAACAAUUAAAAAAUUUAUGCAAUGCGUGGGCAAAUACCUAGUUAUGUUAUGAUGUUGGUGCGAAAAUGAAACUCCCGAUUGCUUGUGAUAUCUGACAUGGGACCUGAGACUUCGAUGGUCUAGAUACAUGAUUGAGGCUUGUUCGGUUCCAUUUGUCUCAUAAAUUUAACCUUGCUUGUAAGUUCAUUUUAUGAUUUUUUUUCCCCCUCUGUAUUUGUUCUUUUUGGUGUUUUCAAGUUCUACAAUCUAUAAGCUCUCUCUCCCUCUCUUUUUCUUUUCUUUUAACUUUAAAAUUAAUUGUUCUUUGCGUAGGAAUCAGGAUGGAGACAUACUA
rnacentral:misc_RNA from 1 species